rnacentral:rRNA from 1 species
AAUGCUGACAUAAGUAACGAUAAAGCGGGUGAAAAGCCCGCUCGCCGGAAGACCAAGGGUUCCUGUCCAACGUUAAUCGGGGCAGGGUGAGUCGACCCCUAAGGCGAGGCCGAAAGGCGUAGUCGAUGGGAAACAGGUUAAUAUUCCUGUACUUGGUGUUACUGCGAAGGGGGGACGGAGAAGGCUAUGUUAGCCGGGCGACGGUUGUCCCGGUUUAAGCAUGUAGGCUGAUUGUCCAGGCAAAUCCGGAUAAUCAAGGCUGAGGUGUGAUGACGAGGCACUACGGUGCUGAAGUAACAAAUGCCCUGCUUCCAGGAAAAGCCUCUAAGCAUCAGGUAACAUUAAAUCGUACCCCAAACCGACACAGGUGGUCAGGUAGAGAAUACCAAGGCGCUUGAGAGAACUCGGGUGAAGGAACUAGGCAAAAUGGUGCCGUAACUUCGGGAGAAGGCACGCUGGUGUGUAGGUGAAGUCCCUGCGGAUGGAGCUGAGACCAGUCGAAGAUACCAGCUGGCUGCAACUGUUUAUUAAAAACACAGCACUGUGCAAACACGAAAGUGGACGUAUACGGUGUGACGCCUGCCCGGUGCCGGAAGGUUAAUUGAUGGGGUUAUCCGUAAGGAGAAGCUCUUGAUCGAAGCCCCGGUAAACGGCGGCCGUAACUAUAACGGUCCUAAGGUAGCGAAAUUCCUUGUCGGGUAAGUUCCGACCUGCACGAAUGGCGUAAUGAUGGCCAGGCUGUCUCCACCCGAGACUCAGUGAAAUUGAACUCGCUGUGAAGAUGCAGUGUACCCGCGGCAAGACGGAAAGACCCCGUGAACCUUUACUAUAGCUUGACACUGAACAUUGAGCCUUGAUGUGUAGGAUAGGUGGGAGGCUUUGAAGCGUGGACGCCAGUCUGCGUGGAGCCAACCUUGAAAUACCACCCUUUAAUGUUUGAUGUUCUAACGUUGGCCCCUGACCGGGGUUGCGGACAGUGUCUGGUGGGUAGUUUGACUGGGGCGGUCUCCUCCCAAAGCGUAACGGAGGAGCACGAAGGUUAGCUAAUCCUGGUCGGACAUCAGGAGGUUAGUGCAAUGGCAUAAGCUAGCUUGACUGCGAGCGUGACGGCGCGAGCAGGUGCGAAAGCAGGUCAUAGUGAUCCGGUGGUUCUGAAUGGAAGGGCCAUCGCUCAACGGAUAAAAGGUACUCCGGGGAUAACAGGCUGAUACCGCCCAAGAGUUCAUAUCGACGGCGGUGUUUGGCACCUCGAUGUCGGCUCAUCACAUCCUGGGGCUGAAGUAGGUCCCAAGGGUAUGGCUGUUCGCCAUUUAAAGUGGUACGCGAGCUGGGUUUAGAACGUCGUGAGACAGUUCGGUCCCUAUCUGCCGUGGGCGCUGGAGAAUUGAGGGGGGCUGCUCCUAGUACGAGAGGACCGGAGUGGACGCAUCACUGGUGUUCGGGUUGUCAUGCCAAUGGCACUGCCCGGUAGCUAAAUGCGGAAGAGAUAAGUGCUGAAAGCAUCUAAGCACGAAACUUGCCCCGAGAUGAGUUCUCCCUGAGACUUUAAGUCUCCUGAAGGAACGUUAAAGACGAUGACGUUGAUAGGCCGGGUGUGUAAGCGCAGCGAUGCGUUGAGCUAACCGGUACUAAUGAACCGUGAGGCUUAACCUU